UACGUAGGGCGCAAGCGUUGUCCGGAAUUAUUGGGCGUAAAGAGCUUGUAGGCGGUUUGUCGCGUCUGCUGUGAAAAUCCGGGGCUCAACCCCGGACUUGCAGUGGGUACGGGCAGGCUAGAGUGUGGUAGGGGAGACUGGAAUUCCUGGUGUAGCGGUGGAAUGCGCAGAUAUCAGGAGGAACACCGAUGGCGAAGGCAGGUCUCUGGGCCACUACUGACGCUGAGAAGCGAAAGCAUGGGGAGCGAACAGG
rnacentral:rRNA from 1 species